CCUGGAAUUCGGAUGCCUCCUAGUCUCACUUGUCCCUAGCCAAAAGGCCAAAUGAGUGAGCUAGAGGGAAAGCCCGAGAGCAAUCCCCCAUCAUCAUACAUUGUGUAGCCAAGAUCAUCACAUUUGGAGCAUCUCCUGGGCCACU